AUACUCUGGUUUCUCUUCAGAUCGUAUAAAUCUUUCGCCUUUUACUAAAGAUUUCCGUGGAGAGGAACAUUUAUGAGUUUUCAUCAAAAUUCGAGAGUCGCAGGAAAUUAAAGGAAU